rnacentral:rRNA from 1 species
GACGAAUGCUGGCGGCGUGCCUAAUACAUGCAAGUAGAACGCAGUUGCGAACGGGUGAGUAACGCGUAGGUAACCUGCCUUGUAGCGGGGGAUAACUAUUGGAAACGAUAGCUAAUACCGCAUACUACAAGAUGGACCUGCGUUGUAUUAGCUAGUAGGUGAGGUAAUGGCUCACCUAGGAGACGAUACAUAGCCGACCUGAGAGGGUGAGUGGCCAAGCUGGGACCGUGACACGGCCCAGACUCCUACGGGAGGCAGCAGUAGGGAAUCUUCGGCAAUGGGGGCAACCCUGACCGAGCAACGCCGCGUGAGUGAAGAAGGUUUUCGGAUCGUAAAGCUCUGUUGUAAGUCAAGCGGUAGCUUACCAGAAAGGGACGGCUAACUACGUGCCAGCAGCCGCGGUAAUAC